rnacentral:misc_RNA from 1 species
GUUGUUGUUACAUGUUACAUUUUGGUUAUAAUUUGUUGUUGGAUGUUCGCCUGGAGUGAAUAUGACAAGCAUUACAAUUUUCCUUUAAAGUCAUCAGUAUUGCUUUACUUUCUCCUGAUCGUGCUAUCAUCAACAUUCUUCUCCAUUGAUGCCAUGCACUACUUCUCUGCUUUGUUGCUAAACCUUUUUGGUAUUCUAAAUCCAGGUUACACGCACAGGCGCUCACGCUGGCGGCAUUAGCCGGUGCUGCCGUGGUUGAGUACUACG